CGUCCGUUUCAUAACAAUAAUACCCAUAUCAAAACCAAAAAUAAACUCUGUCCGUUUCAUAACAAUAAUACACAUAUCAAAACAAAAAUAAACUCUGUCCAUUGCUUGACAAUAAUACUCAUAUCAAAACCAAAAAUAAACUCUGUCCGUUUCAUAACAAUAAUACCCAUAUCAAAACCAAAAAUAAACACUGUCCGUUUUAUGACAAUAAUACACAUAUCAAAACAAAAAAAAAACAAUCUGUUUCAUACAAUAAUACUCAUAUCAAAACCAAAAAUAAACUCUGUUUCAUAACAAUAAUUUACAUAUCAAAAGUAAACUCUGUCCAUUUCAUAACAAUAAUACACACAUAAGUGAUGUAAAUGUGACACUAUUUGUUCAUGAAAACAUGCAUCGAAGCUACUGAACACAGAGCAGUUUGCAUAAAUCAGAUACAUCGGUUGAAAACUUGAAGACGUCAGACACAUGAUCGUACAAUUCAUGGCUGCAGUGAAAUAUGAUGAUGUUCAAACACAAUCACAGAGCAGCACGAGUCCAGAUACUGAAGUGGUUUUUUCCUGGUGUUUAUUUGUGCAGCUCACGUGUGCAGCUUUCCAUGUGUUUAAUGGCAUUACUUUGAGAGGCACAUAUUUGAUGGAGCUGGAACAAUUGGAUUGCAUUGUGCACGUCACUUAAGCGCUGAUCUCUUUUUAUCUCCGAACCCAGGAAAGCAUGUGUCAACCUAAAUGCAACGCGCUGGCAUGUUGUGUUUUCUUGCUAACUGUCCAAGAUGGUGCAACUUCUCCAGAACCAGUAUUACAGACACGGGUGAAGAUUUCAUUAGAAGACUGUAGGCGGGGACACAUUUACUGUAAUGUACACUUCAUUUUCAUGCAUCUGUUUAUGUCUUUUCUGUAUUGGUUUAAGGUGGAUUUGAUUUAUUUACAUAAAGCAGUUGCUCUCAAAUUCUUUCAGCUUCACAAAAAAUGGAAAAAAAAACAUAAAUUUCAUCAUAAAAGUGAGUGUAUUGUUGCAUUUCUCACCACUUUAUUAUUAACUCGUGCUAAACAAUGAUGCAUCUUGAAUUAAUUAUGUGACUCAUCAACCCGUGGAUCAGUGUUUCUCAUAUUAAGCAUCAGAACCAAAACUGGGCCAUGGAUGUACUUUAUUGGGGUCACCAUCUGGCAAAUUAAAUACAUUUUUUGGUGCACCUGUUGAGCGACGAUUCUGUUUCCAUUGCCGUUGUUCAUAUUUCUGUUUUAUCGAUAAACCAACUUUCCUGUUUCCACAUGACUUUUUUUAUGCACUCAUUGAAAUCCAAAUAAAAACACAGGGAUGUAAAUGCAUGUCGGUCAGUAUUAUGUUGAUAAAACUUACCAAACUUUGCAAAAA